UGCCAGCCGCCGCGGUAAUACGGAGAGUGCAAGCGUUGUUCGGAAUUAUUGGGCGUAAAGGGCGUCUAGGUGGCCCGCCAAGUCAGAUGUGAAAUCCCUCGGCUCAACCGAGGAACUGCAUUUGAAACUGGCGAGCUCGAGUGCUGGAGGGGCCAGCGGAAUUCCCGGUGUAGGGGUGAAAUCCGUAGAUAUCGGGAGGAACACCAGUGGCGAAGGCGGCUGGCUGGCCAGACACUGACGCUCAUGGACGAAAGCCAGGGGAGCGAAAGGGAUUAGAUA
rnacentral:rRNA from 1 species